UUCCCCAGGAUUCCAUGGUUCAGCACAUAUCCAGCCCAGAGGGCAAAGCCAGCCUCCUCUUUUGACAAGUACUUGUCAUGAAGAGGGAGAAACAACAUGGAGGAGGGGAAAAAUUUUGACACUCAUCUCCUGUGCCUGCAAUUCAUAACUCAAUCUUGUUCAAUUGCUCUCUCUUUUGAAUAGAGUCUGGCAAUAGGGUGAAAUAACCAAGAACUCUACUACACCCCCUCAGAAGAACCAGAGGUAUCAGCUACCAUAUUUGUCUGUAUAUCCAAUAUUCCAGCCUCAACACCUUUCCUUGAAAAUCUAGAGGUCAUCAAUAAAAUGAAAAGCCAUUUCAUUCUAUUGGUGAAAACAGAAGCUUUUCUGCAGCAUAUCAAGAGUCUGGCAAAGCUCUCAACUAGAUUAUACUAUAAAGAAUAUGAAUAG
rnacentral:lncRNA from 1 species